UUACCAAAAAACAUUAAAACAAUUAGGAUAGACGAGUCUUCUCACUUAUAUGUUACUUAACAUUUACUCUUAUAUCUAAUAUGAAAUUUCUAACUCACAUUUAAUACUUCAAUACUCAUUCAAUUAAAACAAUAGUAGCAAUACAUGAUGAAAUAUAGUCGAAAUUCUAAAAUUCCAGUGACUAGCAUACAAUCUAAACGUCUAACAAAUCAAGGACACAAUUUGCUUGUCCAUAAAUAAAACGUAUCCACCUUCAAAGCACAUAAUAUAUACCUCGAAAAUGUAGCAUGAGGUCGGAACAAUCUUCUUAUAACAAAUUAAUCCCUAAUAUUUUUCCAACAUCAAAAGCCGCAAAAUUUUAAGUGUCAUCGAUAUUCACACACAUUAACUAUAGAGAAGUUGGAAAUUAGGGUUCAAACCAACAACUCAAACAUAUCAAAUAUCUAUUCAGUCUUUAACUAUCUGAAUUGUAUUUAC
rnacentral:lncRNA from 1 species